CGUUAAAACACCAGUUUCUGUACGAUUAGCGAAGUUAAACAACGUCGAGCUUGGUCAAUACCUAGGUGGGUGACCGCUUGGGAAUGCCAGGGACUGUAAG